rnacentral:piRNA from 1 species
UGAGUCUCACAGUUACAGGCACGUUGAUGGU